GUUUCUCCAAGAAACUGACUCCACCCUCUCAGAACCUUCUCUAGACUUCUGAUCCUCCUUCUUUAGGACCCUCACACCCUUGUUAGGACUAGAUAAGGCUUUGUCUUAAAUCCCAAAGUCUUGUUCUAAAACUAAGAUAGGUUGUAAGAAAGAAAAGUGAGCAAUGGAGACAAAAUUAGAAACUCUUUCUGAAUGCCCUAGACACCCAGUGCCCUGGCCAAUUUAUAGCC
rnacentral:lncRNA from 1 species